rnacentral:rRNA from 1 species
AUUGAACGCUGGCGGCAGGCCUAACACAUGCAAGUCGAACGAAUGGCGGACGGGUGAGUAAUUUCUGGGAAACUGCCUGAUCGAGGGGGAUAACUACUGGAAACGGUAGCUAAUACCGCAUACCAUCAGAUGUGCCCUGAGGGGAUUAGCUAGUUGGUGGGGUAACGGCUCACCAAGGCGACGAUCCCUAGCUGGUCUGAGAGGGUGACCAGCCACACUGGAACGGAGACACGGUCCAGACUCCUACGGGAGGCAGCAGUGGGGAAUAUUGCACAAUGGGCGCAAGCCUGAUGCAGCCAUGCCGCGUGUAUGAAGAAGGCCUUCGGGUUGUAAAGUACUUUCAGCGGGGAGGCGUUACCCGCAGAAGAAGCACCGGCUAACUCCGUGCCAGCAGCCGCGGUAAUAC